rnacentral:rRNA from 1 species
AACGAACGCUGGCGGCAGGCCUAACACAUGCAAGUCGAACGCAUCGCAAGAUGAGUGGCGCACGGGUGAGUAACACGUGGGAAUGUAUCCUUUGGUUCGGAAUAACGUCUGGAAACGGACGCUAAUACCGGAUGAGCCCUUAGGGGGAAAGAUUUAUCGCCGAAGGAGCAGCCCGCGUCUGAUUAGGUAGUUGGUGGGGUAAAGGCCUACCAAGCCGACGAUCGGUAGCUGGUCUGAGAGGAUGAUCAGCCACACUGGGACUGAGACACGGCCCAGACUCCUACGGGAGGCAGCAGUGGGGAAUAUUGGACAAUGGGCGCAAGCCUGAUCCAGCCAUGCCGCGUGAGUGAUGAAGGCCUUCGGGUUGUAAAACUCUUUCGCACACGACGAUGAUGACGGUAGUGUGAGAAGAAGCCCCGGCUAACUUCGUGCCAGCAGCCGCCGUAACAC